GGGCCCGCACAAGCGGUGGAGCAUGUGGUUUAAUUCGAAGCAACGCGCAGAACCUUACCCAGGCUUGACAUCCUCAGAACCUCUUGGAAACAAGAGGGUGCCCUCUCACGAGGGAAUUGAGUGACAGGUGCUGCAUGGCUGUCGUCAGCUCGUGCUGUGAGGUGUUCGGUUAAGUCCGGCAAUCGAGCGCAACCCCUGUCGCUAGUUACCAGCAUUUAGUUGGGGACUCUAGCGAGACUGCCGGUGAUAAACCGGAGGAAGGUGGGGACGACGUCAAGUCCUCAUGGCCCUUAUGUCUGGGGCUACACACGUGCCUACAAUGGCAGUCUACAGAAGGCAGCGAAGUCGCAAGGCG
rnacentral:rRNA from 1 species